GACAGAGGGUGCAAACGUUGUUCGGAAUUACUGGGCGUAAAGCGCGUGUAGGCGGCUUCGCAAGUCGGAUGUGAAAGCCCACGGCUCAACCGUGGAAGUGCACCCGAAACUGCGUGGCUUGAGUUCUGGAGAGGAAGGCGGAAUACUUGGUGUAGAGGUGAAAUUCGUAGAUAUCAAGCGGAACACCGGUGGCGAAGGCGGCCUUCUGGACAGUGACUGACGCUGAGACGCGAAAGCGUGGGGAGCAAACAGG
rnacentral:rRNA from 1 species